rnacentral:rRNA from 1 species
CAGAGGGGGAUAACGUUUGGAAACGAACGCUAAUACCGCAUGAUAUUAUUGGGCAGCAUUGCCUGAUAAUCAAAGGAGCAAUCCGCUGAAAGAUGGGCUCGCGUCCGAUUAGGUAGUUGGCGGGGUAACGGCCCACCAAGCCGACGAUCGGUAGCCGGACUGAGAGGUUGAACGGCCACAUUGGGACUGAGACACGGCCCAGACUCCUACGGGAGGCAGCAGUGAGGGAUAUUGGUCAAUGGGGGAAACCCUGAACCAGCAACGCCGCGUGAGGGAAGACGGUUUUCGGAUUGUAAACCUCUGUCCUCUGUGAAGAUGAUGACGGUAGCAGAGGAGGAAGCUCCGGCUAACUACGUGCCAGCAGCCGCGGUAAUACGUAGGGAGCAAGCGUUGUCCGGAUUUACUGGGUGUAAAGGGUGCGUAGGCGGCUUUGCAAGUCAGAAGUGAAAUCUAUGGGCUUAACCCAUAAACUGCUUUUGAAACUGCAGGGCUUGAGUGAAGUAGAGGUAGGCGGAAUUCCCGGUGUAGCGGUGAAAUGCGUAGAGAUCGGGAGGAACACCAGUGGCGAAGGCGGCCUACUGGGCUUUAACUGACGCUGAGGCACGAAAGCGUGGGUAGCAAACAGGAUUAGAUACCCUGGUAGUCCACGCUGUAAACGAUGA